UAGGUCAAGAAACACGAUGAGGGGA
rnacentral:piRNA from 1 species